AUGGCGCGCAUAGGGAGCCUCAUGCGUCCCCAUGGAGGCGCCCGGGCUGGCCCAGGCGGCGGUGGCGGAGGAGACCUCCGACUGGGCGCCCGCGCUCUGCCCCAGCCCCGAGGCGCGGUCGCCGGAGCCGCCUGCCUACCGCCUGCAGGACUUUACACGCUGUUCACCGUGGGAAAGCAACUAGACGCCAUUUGUGUCAAGGUAACGUCUGGAGAAACAAAAGGUCAGGAACGGCCAACGUCCCUACUGGCCACAAUCCAGCCCCAUCUGCAAGACAGCCAGCCGCCCUGGGGGAAUUCCCACCUGGUGGGGCUCCACAUCACCAGCCUUCAGCUGCUCAGGGUACAGCCCCUCGUGAGAACCGAGCUACAGUCAUGUUUCCUAAGUGACCUACAUCAGCCUCCUGCUCAGGGGCUUGUAUAGAGACCACUGCCAGCCCUCCAGGUGGUCCCUGCAAAGAGAGUCCCAGCCCUCAAGGCUCCAAAUGGACAGGGCUCCAUGUUGACCCCUUUGUCGGCCUCCAAUCGGCCGGCUGUAACAUGUUUAAUCCAGUUCAGCACAUUUAUUUAUUUCCAACUUGCAUAUAAAACAUACUGAGAAACUAAAACCAUCGUUAAAAGUGAAGACACAUUGAGACGGGUAUCUCGACCUACCAAGUAUAAAGCUAAAGAUAAGUUCAUAAAAAGGGAUGAUUUGGCGGACGGUCAUCUGUCAGAUUCUGAUGAUGAUUCAGAACUCAGCGUGGAAGAAGAUCAGAGGGAGAGGCAGGCGCUCUUUGACUUAUCAAGCUGCUCCCUGAGGUCCCAAAGCUUUAAGUGUCAGACUUGUAAAAAGUCAUACGUAGGGAGGUGGGGACUGGUGCAGCAUUUUAAACUUAAUCCAGGCCGUGGCCAGCUGGACGCUGAGAUGGUGCUGUCUGAGAAAGCCAAUGAGAGCACCGUCCGGGGGUGCACGGCGGAAAGGACGCUCGGCCUGAGCUCCCCGGGGCUGUCCAUGCCAGUGGCUCCGCAUGAGGGAGGGGCCGGCCGGCUCCUGCUUGGUGACAGUCAGCAUGCGGUGGCCUGCAGGUAAUGUUUGCGUCUGAGUGGUGUUUCCGGCCAUUCUCACACUGUUAUAAAGAAAUACCUGAGACCGGGUAUUUUAUAAAGAAAAGAGGUUUAGUUGGCUUACAGUUGCACAGGCUGUACAGGAAGCAUGGUGCUGGCAUCUGCUCAGCUUCUGGGGAUGCUUCACAAACAGUCACGGUGAAGGCAGAGUGGGAGCAGGCACAUCACAUGGCCACAGCAGGGACAAGGGGUUGGGGUAGGUACCACACACUUUUAAACCACCAGCUCUCAUGAGAACAGCACCAAGGGGAUGGUGCUAAACCAAUGUGAGAUUGGGUGGGGAUGGAUUCAAACCGUAUCAGUCCUUAUUCCUGCCUCUGCCUGCCCAUCAUCCUUAAGUUGACCUUUACAAUGUGUGAUGGGGACUCAGGCGAAGGCUCAAGCAGGACCAGAAUCAUUCUAGUGGAGGAUCUGAGACCCCCAUGUUUGCACUGCUGCCGAACAGGCUGGAAGCUGCGUGUCUGUGUGUCGGCAUGAUUUAGUGAGCACAUCUGAUGGGAACGCAGCUGUUUCUUGAGGUUUGGUCAGGAAAACCAAUGGCAGUGCGCUCUUGGCUGGCGCUGCCAUUCCAGAGGGUGAUGUUGAGAAAGGCAGUCCCUGGGGGUGCUUCUGGAGUGUCAGUAGCCCCUGGCUGCUUAGCGUGUCCUCUCCCUCCUGCCCCUUCUGAAACUCCCAAUAAAGCAGGUAUGAGUCGCUGUAAGUUUGCAUUAUCACAUCAAAAUUUUUUUUCCAAAAUAUUGUAAUAAAAUACACAUAACAUUUACCAUCUUAGCCAUAUUGAAGUGUGUGGUUCAGGGGUAUUAAAUACAUUCACAAUGUUGUACAGCCAUCACCCCCACACAUUUCCAGAACUCUUUUCAUCUACAGCUAAAACUCUGAGCUUCAAGUUGGGGUAAGCGGGGAAAAAACAAACAAAAGAAAACUAAAACUGUCCCCAUAAACACCAACUCUCCAUUCCCUUUUUCCGCAACCCCGGCAGCCACUAUUCUACUUUCUGUCUCUGUGAUUUUCACUAUGCUACUUUCCUCACAGAAGUGGAAUCACAGAAUAUUUGUCUUUCUGUGACUGGCUUAUUUCACUUAGCACAAUAUCCUCAAGGUUCAUGUUGCAGGAAGUGUCUGCAUGUCCUUCCUCUGCAAGGCUGAGUAAAAUCUCGCUGUUGUGCACAUACCA